UUAAAGCAGUAGGCCCACAGCCACACAGAGAAUUCCAGAGGGUGCUGGAUUACAACCUUCAUGCUUUACUUCAGUCCAACAUACUUUACCUGUUGAUCUGCUCAAUAUGGAUGCCCCACAACCUCUUUUAUGAGCUCCGUUGAGCAGGAAGUGGAAGGAGCACUGAGCAGAUAUGGAGAGACACAGAUUCCAGUCCUGUCACCACUACAACAAGGCAGGCUGUCUCCUUUCUGGGAGCAGGUUUUCAUCCAGACAACCUGGAGAACACAUGGUUACAGACAUGUCUUUGGAUCAUCAGUGUCAUUUUACUUAUAGAUGGCCUUCAGGUUCUCCCUGCUUGCUGUCCUAGAUAUUUGUUUCACCAUGACCAAAGUCCUUGGACCACUGAGUAAGUUUGUUGAGUAAAGGGCAUGAGGUAUUUGAAUCUGGGCCUGGUCAGGAUUUCAGGUUUCUAGACAAUUCAAUUAAUGCCUUUGUCUUAAUACUCAUUAAAAAAUUGAAUAAAAAUAAUUGCUUUACCUACUUUAUAGAAAGAAUGAGGAGUAUAUACCAGAACAUGUAAGUUAUAUGUUUCAUAACACAGAGUUUGUGAGUU